rnacentral:misc_RNA from 1 species
CCCUGUCCUGAGACUGAAGCAGCUU